rnacentral:lncRNA from 1 species
UUAUUGUAAUAAUCAAAAGGGGGAUUUAUACAAGGUAUUUUUUAUACAGUUUAAAAUUAAAGCACUUAUUUUACAAAAAGGGGGAAGUGAAUAGUGGACAAGGGCUGACCAAAUGUUGGUCAUUAAAAUAUAAUUACAUCCUUGCAAAGCACCAUCGUACCAAAGUCCAUGAACAAGAAACACCAGCUGACUUUAAGACAAUGACGAAGAUUAAAGCUUAAAAAAUUUAAAAACACAGAGGAUAAAACAUCUGAAAGCAGCACCAGAUCCUUCACUUGCAAAUAAGGCUAGUCCAGCUUAAGCGUCUCAGUAUCUUCUUUACUCUCAUUAAAAUGUUCUCAAUUAAUCCUAGAUACUCAAUUUCAUGUAACCUUAGUUUAAUCAGACUUGUUUUAUUUUCUUUUUAAUAUUCUUACUUAGGCAUUAGUAUUUAGUGAGAUAUAAUAGAGA